rnacentral:rRNA from 1 species
CUGUAUUACAGGUGGUGCAUGGUUGUCGUCAGCUCGUGUCGUGAGAUGUUGGGUUAAGUCCCAUAACGAGCGCAACCCCUAUCGUUAGUUACCAUCAUUAAGUUGGGGACUCUAGCGAUACUGCCGGUGAUAAACCGGAGGAAGGUGGGGACGACGUCAAAUCAUCAUGCCCUUUAUGACUUGGGCUACACACGUGCUACAAUGGCAGAUACAGAGGGCAGCGAAAGAGCGAUCUGAAGCGAAACUCACAAAGUCUGUCCCAGUUCGGAUUGUACUCUGCAACUCGAGUACAUGAAGUUGGAGUUGCUAGUAAUCGCGAAUCAGAAUGUCGCGGUGAAUGCGUUCCCGGGUCUUGUACACACCGCCCGUCACACCAUGGGAGUUGGCAAUACCCGAAGCCUGUGAGCGAACCAAUUGGACGCAGCAGUCGAAGGUAGGGUCAGUAACUGGGGUGAAGUCGUAACAAGGUAGCCGUAUCGGAAGGUGCGGCUGGAUCACCUCCUUUCUAAG